GCCAUAGUCGUCUAGGGGUCAGGACACUAGUUUGUGGAUACCAAUUCGCAAACCACUGGAAACCGAGGUUCGAGUCCUCGCUACGGCA
rnacentral:tRNA from 1 species